rnacentral:rRNA from 1 species
AAAAGGCGGCGUAAGCUGUCGCUAAAGGAUGGACCCGCGGUGCAUUAGCUAGUUGGUAAGGUAACGGCUUACCAAGGCGACGAUGCAUAGCCGAGUCGAGAGACUGAUCGGCCACAUUGGGACUGAGACACGGCCCAAACUCCUACGGGAGGCAGCAGUAGGGAAUCUUCCACAAUGGGCGAAAGCCUGAUGGAGCAACGCCGCGUGAGUGAAGAAGGUUUUCGGAUCGUAAAGCUCUGUUGUUGGUGAAGAAGGAUAGAGGUAGUAACUGGCCCCUAUUUGACGGUAAUCAACCAGAAAGUCACGGCUAACUACGUGCCAGCAGCCGCGGUAAUACGUAGGUGGCAAGCGUUGUCCGGAUUUAUUGGGCGUAAAGCGAGCGCAGGCGAAAAGAUAAGUCUGAUGUGAAAGCCCCCGGCUUAACCGAGGAAUUGCAUCGGAAACUGUGUUUCUUGAGUGCAGAAGAGGAGAGUGGAACUCCAUGUGUAGCGGUGGAAUGCGUAGAUAUAUGGAAGAACACCAGUGGCGAAGGCGGCUCUCUGGUCUGUAACUGACGCUGAGGCUCGAAAGCAUGGGUAGCGAACAGGAUUAGAUACCCUGGUAGUCCAUGCCGUAAACGAUGAGUGCUAAGUGUUGGGAGGUUUCCGCCUCUCA